rnacentral:rRNA from 1 species
AGAGUUUGAUCAUGGCUCAGAAUCAACGCUGGCGGCGCGCUUAACACAUGCAAGUCGAACGAGAAAGCAGGAGCAAUCCUGUGAGUACAGUGGCGUACGGGUGAGUAACACGUGGGUAAUCUACCUCAUAGUGGGGAAUAACGCUGGGAAACCGGCGCUAAUACCGCAUAAUCUCGAGAGAGGAAAGCAGCAAUGCGCUGUGAGAGGAGCCCGCGGCUGAUUAGCUAGUUGGUGGGGUAAGAGCCCACCAAGGCAUAGAUCGGUAGCCGGCCUGAGAGGGCACACGGCCACACUGGCACUGAAACACGGGCCAGACUCCUACGGGAGGCAGCAGUGGGGAAUCUUGCACAAUGGGGGCAACCCUGAUGCAGCGACGCCGCGUGAGCGAUGAAGCCCUUCGGGGUGUAAAGCUCUUUCGGCAGGGACGAUAAUGACGGUACCUGCAGAAGCAGCUGCGGCUAACUACGUGCCAGCAGCCGCGGUAAUACGUAGGCAGCGAGCGUUGUUCGGAGUUACUGGGCGUAAAGGGUGUGUAGGCGGUUCUCUAAGUUUGGUGUGAAAUCUCCCGGCUCAACCGGGAGGGUGCGCCGAAAACUGGGGGACUAGAGUGCGGGAUGGGAGAGUAGAAUUCCUGGUGUAGCGGUGAAAUGCGUAGAUAUCAGGAGGAAUACCGGUGGUGUAGACGGCUCUCUGGACCGCAACUGACGCUGAGACACGAAAGCGUGGGUAGCAAACAGGAUUAGAUACCCUAGUAGUCC